UUGCCGGCCUGGUAAUGCUGGGGCCACGUCUGGCUGAGGGUCGCG
rnacentral:rRNA from 1 species